CGCCUAAACUCGUCGUAAGCGAUCGGCGAGCAUGGCUUAAAAACCAGUAACGGAUAGAGAACCCAUCAUUGUGGGGCUACCGUUACUGGUCAUACUGGGAAACUGGUAUGGAUGACGCAAGUCAUC
rnacentral:sRNA from 1 species